rnacentral:lncRNA from 1 species
UAAGGAGGAUAAGAACUAAAUGUGGUCCCAGACAAGAUCCUGGAACAGAAAAUGAACACUAAGGGAAAACUAAGGAAAUAUGAACAAGGAGAUUCCAUGAAAGGAGAGAGGCUGGCACAGCUGGUUGUUCUAUGGCCAUGAGGAGAAGCAUGACAAGAGAGAAGAGAUGCCACUAGAUGAAAAGAACUCUCCAGAGAAGAGUGGAGGCCCAAACUGGGAAGUUAGCUGUAGCAGCUGAUGUCACAAAGCCUGGCUGAGGACCAAAGAGAAACAGGUUCGUUUGGAAGUUCGUAUCUGAGCAGACUGGCUCAACCAGAAGUCCAGAAAAGUGUGGACCAGCUUCAACAGGACAGCACUAACACAGACUACUGCAGUCUCUGCACAGAGAGGCCUAAAGGAGAGGUCACAGCAGUACUCUGCAGGUAAAUGGCUGCUACAGAAUGAACUCAGAUGGGAUAUGAAGCAAUGGACCCAGAAAUCCCAGCCAACACGUGAUAUUGCAAUAUUCCAUCAUUUACUAUCACACUGGACCUCACUGAUGCAGAAGUUUCCAUUAGGCGCCAAGUCAAAAGAGAUCACAAAAGAAAAGACAAGAAGGGUGCUCAAGAGCAACUAGAGGCAAGUGCUCUACUGUGGCUGCCCUCCUUCCUAAGAGGUGAAGGAUGGACAGGUAAGAGGAGGAGAUGGUUUGGAUUUGUGUCCUCUCCCAAAUAUGUCAAAUUGUAAUCCGCAGUAUGGGAGGUGGGGCCUGGCAGGAGGUAGUGGAUCAUAGGGGCGGAUUUCCCCAUUUGGUGCUGUUCUGGUGAUACAGAGUUUUCACAAGAUGUGGUUGUUUAAAAGUGUGUGGCACCCCUCCCUACCCCCACCACUUCCUCCCGUUCCGGCCAUGUAAAGUGCUGGCUUCCCCUUUGCCUUCUGCCAUGAUCAUAAGUUUCCUGAAGCCUCCCCAGAAGGCU